GACGAACGCUGGCGGCGUGCUUAACACAUGCCAGUCGAACGGAAAGGCCUGCUUUCCCUUGUGGAUUGCGGGUACUCGAGUGGCGAACGGGUGAGUAACACGUGAGUGAUCUGCCCCCAACUUGGGUAUAAGCCUGGGAAACUGGGUCUAAUUCCCGAUAGGACUGCAGGGUGGUGCCUGUGGUGGAAAACGAUUUUCUAGUGGUUGGGGAUGAGCUCGCGGCCUAUCAGCUUGUUGGUGGGGUAAUGGCCUACCAAGGCGGCGACGGGUAGCCGGCCUGAGAGGGUGGACGGCCACAUUGGGACUGAGAUACGGCCCAGACUCCUACGGGAGGCAGCAGUGGGGAAUAUUGCACAAUGGGCGGAAGCCUGAUGCAGCGACGCCGCGUGGGGGAUGACGGCCUUCGGGUUGUAAACUCCUUUCGACCGCGAGGAAGCCACCUGGUUGGAAGGGUGGUGACGGUAGUGGUAGAAGAAGCACCGGCUAACAACGUG
rnacentral:rRNA from 1 species